rnacentral:rRNA from 1 species
UACAGAGGUCUCAAGCGUUGUUCGGAUUCAUUGGGCGUAAAGGGUGCGUAGGUGGCGCUGUAAGUCGGGUGUGAAAUUUCGGAGCUUAACUCCGAAACUGCAUUCGAUACUGCGGUGCUUGAGGACUGGAGAGGAGACUGGAAUUCAUGGUGUAGCAGUGAAAUGCGUAGAGAUCAUGAGGAAGACCAGUGGCGAAGGCGGGUCUCUGGACCGAGACUGACGCUGAGGCGCGAAGGCGUGGGGAGCAAACAGG